rnacentral:rRNA from 1 species
GGGGAAUUUUCCGCAAUGGGCGAAAGCCUGACGGAGCAAUACCGCGUGGGGGAGGAAGGCUCUUGGGUCGUAAACCUCUUUUCUCAGGGAAGAACAAAAUGACGGUACCUGAGGAAUAAGCAUCGGCUAACUCCGUGCCAGCAGCCGCGGUAAUACGGAGGAUGCAAGCGUUAUCCGGAAUGAUUGGGCGUAAAGCGUCCGCAGGUGGCAGUACAAGUCUGCUGUUAAAGGUCAAGGCUUAACUUUGAACAGGCAGUGGAAACUGUACAGCUAGAGUGCGGUGGGGGCAGAGGGAAUUCCCAGUGUAGCGGUGAAAUGCGUAGAGAUUGGGAAGAACACCAGUGGCGAAAGCGCUCUGCUAGGCCGCAACUGACACUCAGGGACGAAAGCUAGGGGAGCGAAUGGGAUUAGAUACCCCAG